GAGGCAGGCGAUGGGUGACGAGUGGCAGAUGUGCUUAGAGCUCCACCGCCAUCACCGCCGUGGACAACCAGAAGUGAGAGCUCCACCUCCUCGAACUAGGACUAAAGUUCGUGGGACACGUGGACCAGCACCAGUGUCAUGGUGGCACGCGCGAGGCUUUCCAUGGCACCUUGAAGGACCGGUCGGGGAUGUCCCUAUGGUGAAGGAGGUGCUUGAAUGGCUAGAGGGGCAUGAACCAAGGGCUGACCCCGCAAAAGGCGUUGUUGAGCACCUCGUCAUCGCGCCACUGCCCUUGUCUCGG
rnacentral:lncRNA from 3 species